rnacentral:rRNA from 1 species
AGAGUUUGAUCAUGGCUCAGAUUGAACGCUGGCGGCAUGCCUUACACAUGCAAGUCGAGCGGCAGCGCGGGGGCAACCCUGGCGGCGAGCGGCGUACGGGUGAGUAAUGCAUCGGAACGUGUCCUCUUGUGGGGGAUAACCAGUCGAAAGACUGGCUAAUACCGCAUGAGAUCGCAAGAUGAAAGCAGGGGACCCGCAAGGGCCUUGCGCGAGAGGAGCGGCCGAUGCCCGAUUAGCUAGUUGGCGGGGUAAAAGCCCACCAAGGCGACGAUCGGUAGCUGGUCUGAGAGGACGACCAGCCACACUGGGACUGAGACACGGCCCAGACUCCUACGGGAGGCAGCAGUGGGGAAUUUUGGACAAUGGGGGCAACCCUGAUCCAGCCAUGCCGCGUGUGUGAAGAAGGCCUUCGGGUUGUAAAGCACUUUCGGACGGAACGAAAUCGCGCGAUCUAAUAAGUUGCGUGGAUGACGGUACCGUAAGAAGAAGCACCGGCUAACUACGUGCCAGCAGCCGCGGUAAUAC